ensembl:piRNA 21ur-7890 ncRNA
UUCUUUUCAACCAUUCAAGUU